GGCGGCAUGCCUAACACAUGCAAGUCGAACGGUAACAGGCCCGCAAGGGUGCUGACGAGUGGCGGACGGGUGAGGAAUACAUCGGAAUCUGCCCGGUUGUGGGGGAUAACGUAGGGAAACUUACGCUAAUACCGCAUACGACCGAGAGGUGAAAGCGUGGGAUCCGCAAGGACCUCGCGCAGCCGGAUGAGCCGAUGUCGGAUUAGCUAGUUGGCGGGGUAAAGGCCCACCAAGGCGACGAUCCGUAGCUGGUCUGAGAGGAUGAUCAGCCACACUGGGACUGAGACACGGCCCAGACUCCUACGGGAGGCAGCAGUUGGGAAUCUUGGACAAUGGGGGAAACCCUGAUCCAGCCAUGCCGCGUGAGUGAUGAAGGCCUUCGGGUUGUAAAACUCUUUCGACGGGGACGAUAAUGACGGUACCCGUAGAAGAAGCUCCGGCUAACUUCGUGCCAGCAGCCGCGGUAAUACGAAGGGGGCUAGCGUUGUUCGGAAUUACUGGGCGUAAAGCGCGCGCAGGCGGCUAUCCAAGUCAGUGGUGAA
rnacentral:rRNA from 1 species